CGUCCGGAAACACGGGCAAGACACUCAACUGGGGAAACGUGUGCUGUUUGUUAUCUGGCCCUGCGGAGGAAGGGAGCGUGGGUGAGCCGAAGAGGUAACUAAUCAAAAUUGUGUACUAACCCGUCUUCUCUGGGGAAAGAACAACGCUCAACCCGCCUCACAAGGUAGUCAAAGCCAGGCGGCUUCAGUCCAUAUAUUCACGUAAAGUGUGUGUGCAGAGUGCUGUGGGUGAAUUGUGAUUAUCAUUUGUGUUUACACUAAAGCUUGCUGUGUAUGCUGUGCUUGUAGCGACCAAAGCUGCCCUGGCCUCGGACGGGUCGUGAGAAGGAGAGAACACGCUGUGGUUUGAGCCCUAUGAGAAGGGGAAAUUAAACUUCUUUUUGUUUGGCCUUCCUGUGUGUUAGCAAGAGUCACACCACCCCAGCUAGCAGGCAGUGGUGAAGCCCGGCGGUACAUCAGAGUGAGUAGCAGCCAACGUGCAUUGUACGGACGGAGGGUCGUAGUGGUGUGUAGAUCUAUCCCACCGAAACCAGGGGUGUGGGCGGAGCCUCGUUGAGAGUUCGCCCCAGCUCGCGACCCCGGUUACUACAACAGAAGGGGGAGCUAGGGAAGCGUUCGGCUCUGUGCCACACGACUCCUCAGUCCCCAAGACACCCCGGAAGUUUAGGUGACAGGUGGAGGUAUACCGUGUGUGGACGCUGCUGCGAAAACCCACUGCCUGUAAAAGCAACGAAAAGUCUAAGUCUUCAACGUCUUAAGGAGGAACGACCCAUGUCAACAGUGUGAACCACUUACCUGUGUCCCAGUGAACGCCCCGAAGCGAAUGGAAAGCCCAAGUCUUUAACGUCUUAAGGAGGAACGAACUGUGCAAAUAGUGUGAAACGCCUACCUUGCUCCAGUGAAUGCCCCAGAGCGAACGAAGAUCCCAAGUUCUGUGAGUAACUUACCUUAGUGGUGUGUAACCUACCUUGCUCCAGUGAAUGCCCCAGAGCGAACGAAGAUCCUAAGUUCUGUGAGUAACUUACCUGCAGAGUGUGUAACCUACCUUGGCCCAUAGUAAUCCCCGAACGAGAACGAGCCGCCUACGUAGUGUGAGUAUCCACCUCUGGCCACUGGUUCGCACCCG